CUUUCACUGGAACAGGGCAGCUAGGAGGAGAAAUGGAGUGGGCUGAGUUUUCUCUCUGUCUCUCUGCUUCUCCAGUAUCACAGCAAAGUGUCAUGUUUCAUGCUGCAACA
ensembl:miRNA gga-mir-6706 gga-mir-6706